rnacentral:tRNA from 1 species
AAACAACCGCCGGUUGAACGGAAAUCAUUGAUGUUGAUUAAUAAAAAAAUUAAUUUUGUUGUUUA